GUAUAUUUAAAGCCACUGACUUUAAGGAAGUAUCUGUUUUUAUCAAUUUACUAUUUGAUAUGUUCUUUAAAUGAGAGUGUUUUGUUAAGCAGGUUUUUAGAAUAGUGAGCUGAAAUAGGGGUUUGCUCUUUCUACUCCAUGCAUCAACCAGGUAUUGUAGUAUCUUCAGAAACAGUGUCUUUAUU